rnacentral:sRNA from 1 species
GUUAUUUGAUACUUUUACGGCUCACGGCUGAACUUUGAUCUGGGAUCGACCAAGUAUCUAUUUACUCUUCAUCAGUCACCGACCAUUUGGGCAACACAGGACCAGGCACAAGAACAGGGGUAGAGAGGCGAAUGGUGAAAAAGUGAGAGGGCCAUUCACAAUGCCGCUGUCCAGGCUUUGCCGGGCACAACAGUAGGAGGUAAAAGAAGAGAUCUGCUCGAUCUGAAGUCUUAAGUAAUUAUUUCAUCUUCUUCAUUUCCUUUUCAUCUCCUGCUGCGUCGGACCACUUAGAAAUUCAUUAUGGCUAUCAUCAAUUCCAUUCAAGAACCCUACUACUCGGAGUGGCCUUCACAUCUUUGUCUCAGUACUUCUCACAUCUUACUUUAUUCUUAUCAAUCGAGCAAGCCGUGGCAAAGGGCGCAACUGACCAACAACAGCAUUUUAUCUUUUUGAGCCCCAAAAUGUCUCCUUCAGGACCUAAUAGUACAGCCGAUCGAGUAUACCUGACAGGUAACAGGAUCGGUAACUCAUCAGUCAUGACACCUGACUGCUCAUCUUAGCAUAAACUGUCAGCUGCUACUUUGGUCCGCUAUUUCUGGCCUUGACAUCACUGGGAAGACAUUUCUCGUGCUGCUACCAUCUUUUAUGUUAAGGGAUAUCCCUUUCAUAGCGCAACCAAUGCGAUACUGCACCAUAAACCAUAAUGGCUCUAUGCUGAAUGAGUAAUAUGAACGAAUGAAUGCGUGUAGCCUAGAGCAUAUCAUCAGCGACCACCGGCGGAUUAUUUGUACAAAUUAUAUACGCUCACGCGCUUAUCUUUUCUCGUCGCACAGCGAUGUUUGCAUCACUGUCCUUUGUUGCUAUACGGAACGAUCUCGUUAUUCUUUGCCUAUCUUUCUACAUACACCUGUUCUAUACUGUUAGUGUAGCUGAGUAAAGUCAACAACUCGCUCUCAUCAUGAAACAAAAGAAUUGAUCAAUGCAAUCAAG